rnacentral:rRNA from 1 species
GACGAACGCUGGCGGCGUGCUUAACACAUGCAAGUCGAACGAUGAAGCCCAGCUUGCUGGGUGGAUUAGUGGCGAACGGGUGAGUAACACGUGAGUAACCUGCCCUUGACUCUGGGAUAAGCGCUGGAAACGGCGUCUAAUACCGGAUACGACCUGCCCCGGCAUCGGGUGCGGGUGGAAAGUUUUUCGGUCAAGGAUGGACUCGCGGCCUAUCAGCUUGUUGGUGAGGUAAUGGCUCACCAAGGCGACGACGGGUAGCCGGCCUGAGAGGGUGACCGGCCACACUGGGACUGAGACACGGCCCAGACUCCUACGGGAGGCAGCAGUGGGGAAUAUUGCACAAUGGGCGAAAGCCUGAUGCAGCAACGCCGCGUGGGGGAUGACGGCCUUCGGGUUGUAAACCUCUUUUAGUAGGGAAGAAGGACUUCGGUUUGACGGUACCUGCAGAAAAAGCACCGGCUAACUACGUGCCAGCAGCCGCGGUAAUACGUAGGGUGCAAGCGUUGUCCGGAAUUAUUGGGCGUAAAGAGCUCGUAGGCGGUUUGUCGCGUCUGCUGUGAAAACCCGAGGCUCAACCUCGGGCCUGCAGUGGGUACGGGCAGACUAGAGUGCGGUAGGGGAGAAUGGAAUUCCUGGUGUAGCGGUGGAAUGCGCAGAUAUCAGGAGGAACACCGAUGGCGAAGGCAGUUCUCUGGGCCGUUACUGACGCUGAGGAGCGAAAGCGUGGGGAGCGAACAGGAUUAGAUACCCUGGUAGUCCACGCCGUAAACGUUGGGAACUAGAUGUGGGGACCUUUCCACGGUCUCCGUGUCGCAGCUAACGCAUUAAGUUCCCCGCCUGGGGAGUACGGCCGCAAGGCUAAAACUCAAAGGAAUUGACGGGGGCCCGCACAAGCGGCGGAGCAUGCGGAUUAAUUCGAUGCAACGCGAAGAACCUUACCAAGGCUUGACAUAUACCGGAAACUUCCAGAAAUGGUUGCCCCGCAAGGUCGGUAUACAGGUGGUGCAUGGUUGUCGUCAGCUCGUGUCGUGAGAUGUUGGGUUAAGUCCCGCAACGAGCGCAACCCUCGUUCUAUAUUGCCAGCACGUCAUGGUGGGAACUCAUAGGAGACUGCCGGGGUCAACUCGGAGGAAGGUGGGGAUGACGUCAAAUCAUCAUGCCCCUUAUGUCUUGGGCUUCACGCAUGCUACAAUGGCCGGUACAAAGGGCUGCGAUACCGUAAGGUGGAGCGAAUCCCAAAAAGCCGGUCUCAGUUCGGAUUGAGGUCUGCAACUCGACCUCACGAAGUCGGAGUCGCUAGUAAUCGCAGAUCAGCAACGCUGCGGUGAAUACGUUCCCGGGCCU